ACAAACCAGAAUGGUUGGUGGUUGAUCUUCUCUGUACUAUUUUUUUUCUCAAUCUUUGCUCUUAGUACUACUGUACCCAUGCUUAAGACUAUCUUUUCCUUAUUGAUGGAGAGGACACCAAAGGAAGUUGAUAUCGUUCAACUCGAGAAUGGCCUAAAAUCUUUAGCAGGAGUAAAAGAUGUUCAUGACCUACAUGUUUGGGCCAUCACUAUAGGGAAAAUUGUUUUGUCCUGUCACGUUGUAACUGAGCCAGGAGUCAA
rnacentral:misc_RNA from 1 species